rnacentral:rRNA from 1 species
UAGUGAGUUUGAUCCUGGCUCAUAACGAACGCUGGCGGCAUGCCUAACACAUGCAAGUCGAACGAAGCCUUCGGGCUUAGUGGCGCACGGGUGCGUAACGCGUGGGAAUCUGCCCUUGGGUUCGGAAUAACAGUGAGAAAUUACUGCUAAUACCGGAUGAUGUCUUCGGACCAAAGAUUUAUCGCCCAAGGAUGAGCUCGCGUCUGAUUAGCUAGUUGGAGUGGUAACGGCCCACCAAGGCGACGAUCCAUAGCUGGUUUGAGAGGAUGAUCAGCCACACUGGGACUGAGACACGGCCCAGACUCCUACGGGGAGGCAGCAGUGGGGAAUUUUGGACAAUGGGCGAAAGCCUGAUCCAGCAAUGCCGCGUGAGUGAAGAAGGCCUU